rnacentral:piRNA from 1 species
UGCAUGGCACGUGCCUUAGAGGGUGAAGG